UACGUAGGGUGCGAGCGUUAAUCGGAAUUACUGGGCGUAAAGCGUGCGCAGGCGGCGAUGUAAGACCGAUGUGAAAUCCCCGGGCUUAACCUGGGAACUGCAUUGGUGACUGCAUCGCUCGAGUAUGGCAGAGGGGGGUAGAAUUCCACGUGUAGCAGUGAAAUGCGUAGAGAUGUGGAGGAAUACCGAUGGCGAAGGCAGCCCCCUGGGCCAAUACUGACGCUCAUGCACGAAAGCGUGGGGAGCAAACAGG
rnacentral:rRNA from 1 species